CAUAGCCAUAUCUAAAAAGUGAGCAGGAAACACUGAUACCAUCUCUUUCGUUUGCGUCGUGUUUGCAUUUUUCUGUCGCCAUUUCGUACGUAUUUUUGUUAGUCGUCUCCCGGCAAGUUGGUUCUUUAUUUUAUUUUCCGGCCUCUGCACGUGCGUUUGUUUGCUCGGACAGCUGGAGCGUAAGAUGUCUCACGUCCUUGUAAAGUGAGUUGACGAUAACAAGUGGGACGUGUAUCCCGUGAAAGCUUUGGCCGACGCGGAUGUGGCCUUCCGUCUCAUAUCGCAGCACGGGUCAAUUAAAGAAGUAUUCAACUUAUCAGUUGGAAAGAAGGAGCGCCACCGGACCCGGCAGUACUCCUUGCCUUCGAUCAACCCAUGCAGCACCUGUACUGUUCAGGUAAAGGCACUUCAAGAAGAAAAUCAGGAAUUAACAGAUGAAGUGGAACAUAUGAAGCGGAUGGCAGAAAAACACGAUUGCAUUUCUGACUACACAUGCUCCAAGUUUCCCUCUGCCAGCCUCUCCCACGUAAAGAACAUCAUCUCCUCAAUGCUGGCAAGAGAAAUGAAGGAGCCUGAAGCUCAAUAAAUUUGUGGGCUAUUAUAUAAAAGGAAUGAUUCACGUGCUUUUUGUUAAUCACGAAGUUGUUUCUUUUCUAACACCACAGGGAAAGAGGCCUUGUAAUGGAAAGCUAGAAAAUGCACCUUGAAGAUGUCCCGAGACCAAGCGAUGCCUCAACGGCGAAUAUCAACAUUAGUUAAUUUCAUGU